CACUAGUACCACCGUUACCACUACCACUAGCACAACUACCAUUCCUAUCAGAAUUACCACCAGGAAUGGAAGUGAUGCAUGCUGAGAGUACCAUUAUUGAUUAAGCUUUGAGGCCAAUUGUUAUAAGCAACAUCAACACUAGUAUUUGACAUGGUAGAUGAGGGAAUCAAGUCCAAACCUUGUUGUGAGAUAAACAUUGUAC
rnacentral:lncRNA from 1 species